rnacentral:rRNA from 1 species
CCUACGGGUGACAGCAGUGAGGAAUAUUGGUCAAUGGACGGGAGUCUGAACCAGCCAAGCAGCGUGAAGGAUGACGGCCCUACGAGUUGUAAACUUCUUUUAUACAGGAAUAAAGUGAGGCACGUGUGCCGUUUUGUAUGUACUUUAUGAAUAAGGAUCGGCUAACUCCGUGCCAGCAGCCGCGGUAAUACGGAGGAUCCGAGCGUUAUCCGGAUUUAUUGGGUUUAAAGGGAGCGUAGAUGGGUUGUUAAGUUAGUUGUGAAAGUUUGCGGCUCAACCGUAAAAUUGCAAUUGAUACUGUCAGUCUUGAGUACAGUUGAGGUAGGCGGAAUGCGUGGUGUAGCGGUGAAAUGCUUAGAUAUCACGAAGAACUCCGAUUGCGAAGGCAGCUUACUAAACUGCCACUGACAUUGAUGCUCGAAAGUGUGGGUAUCAAACAGGAUUAGAUACCCGAGUAGUC